CGAAAGUAGAGGAAAGUCCGCGCAUCCACAAUCUGCGAUGAUUGUCGUGUUUGUACUUCGUCUAAUAAACGGAGGCAACGCAAGUUGACGACAGCCUAAAGCCUUCGCGCAAGCAUGGCCGAUAAGCUAUAAAGUGCCACAGAGACAAGUAUUGUUUGAAAAAACAAAGUGAAAAGAGGUAAACUCUGCAAGGAUGAAACCCAAAUUAUGGUAGGGGAGUUAAGUCAAGGGAAUUGAACUGAGACUUAAAUGCGUAAGCAUAGAUAAAUAGUCGGUUGAAAAACAGAACGCGGCUCAU
rnacentral:RNase_P_RNA from 1 species